rnacentral:snRNA from 2 species
AUACCUUUCUCGGCCUUUUGGCUAAGAUCAAGUGUAGUAUCUGUUCUUAUCAGUUUAAUAUCUGAUAUGUGGGCCAUGUGCCUACUUUGAUAUUAAAUUAUUUUUUGUGGGGAGGGUCCAUUACAGUGGCUUGCCACUGGGGCCCUCAAGCGUCGCCUGGCCGUUGCACUGCUGGCUGGGCCUGGCGCACCCCAA